CAGCCCCCAUAACCACUACCCGAGAAGGGAGUGGGAACGAGAGAUACCCCAGGGACAUCAGAAGAAUAUACAAAAAGGGGACUGGAAGAGUCUAGAGAAAGGGAGGCACCAGUAGUUGUGUUAGAAGCCAUAGUCAAUGAACCGGCUUAAAUGAACAACUUUUUUUUCAACAAACAGAAUACAACCAAACAGGUAUUCACACACAACAACCAACAAACAGAAUACUCAAGUCAAGUAUUCACAGACAACACCAGAUGCUCACAAGUACACAGUCAAAUAAUCACAUAUACUGAAGAAAAGGACAGAGUUACCCUCCUUCUUCGCGACCGGAGAAGAUCGGCCUUCAAACAAUAGAGAAACCCUAGGUAUCAAGCUCUAGGUGUAACCUUAAUAACAACUUUACUGGAAAUGUCGUCAGGAACGUCGGAGAGGCACCCAAAACGUCCACUGAGGGAGAAUCGAGCCACCGGAAGGCAGUAAAACUUCA
rnacentral:lncRNA from 1 species